GAUGAACGCUGGCGGCGCGCCUAACACAUGCAAGUCGAACGAUUAAAGCACCUUCGGGUGUGUAUAAAGUGGCGAACGGCUGAGUAACACGUGGGCAACCUGCCCCUUUCAUUGGGAUAGCCACGGGAAACCGUGGAUAAUACCGAAUACUUCGAGACUUCCGCAUGGAAGACUCGAGAAAGCUCCGGCGGAGAGGGAUGGGCCCGCGGCCUGUUAGCUUGUUGGUGGGGUAACGGCCUACCAAGGCAAUGAUGGGUAGCUGGGUUGAGAGACCGACCAGCCAGAUUGGGACUGAGACACGGCCCAGACUCCUACGGGAGGCAGCAGUGGGGAAUCUUGCACAAUGGGCGAAAGCCUGAUGCAGCGACGCCGCGUGCGGGAUGAAGGCCUUCGGGUUGUAAACCGCUUUCAGCUGGGACGAGGCGAAAGUGACGGUACCUGCAGAAGAAGCCCCGGCUAACUACGUG
rnacentral:rRNA from 1 species